rnacentral:rRNA from 1 species
GACCUCGGAUCAGGUAGGAAUACCCGCUGAACUUAAGCAUAUCAAUAAGCGGA